rnacentral:tRNA from 1 species
GGGGUUGUGGCUUAGCGGUAGAGUGCGCUCCUGAUGCAGGCGGGGCCCUGGGUUCGAUCCUCAGCAACACAU